rnacentral:sRNA from 1 species
AAUCCAGUGCAACAAGUGCUGAAGUAGGGGGAUAUAUAAGAUGUGGUGGAAAACAGAAAGGACCAAUAGAUGUUGCAGAAGGGGUGCAAGAGAAACCAGGGGAAGAGCACUACCACCUAAGGAAAUGAGAUGUGGGAUAUGGUGAAGAUAACACAUUUUUUUAUAGAGGUUGUUGAGAUAUCUAGGUGGUUGGUUUGGUUUGAAGCUCAGGGGAAGGUCUGAAAUGGACAGCUUUGGGAGUCGCUGGCAUGAAUGAGAAUCAAAGUCCUAGAGAGGUAAGCCUUCCCAGAGAGUAUGUAAUUAUCAGUUUUUCAGGAAUCAAAACCUUUGCCCCAUCCCACCUCCAGCUCAAUGACCAUUGCCCCUUCCUCAAAGGGACGAUCAUGGCUUCUCCCCCUUGCACUGGGCCUGCCGAGAGGGCCGCUCUGCUGUGGUUGAGAUGUUGAUCAUGCGGGGGGCACGGAUCAAUGUAAUGAACCGUGGGGAUGACACCCCCCUGCAUCUGGCAGCCAGUCAUGGACACCGUGAUAUUGUACAGAAGCUAUUGCAGUACAAGGCAGACAUCA